UAACAGUUAGAAAUGACUGCUAAUACCGCAUAAGCGCACAGGACCGCAUGGUCCGGUGUGAAAAACUCCGGUGGUAUGAGAUGGACCCGCGUCUGAUUAGUUAGUUGGCGGGGUAGCGGCCCACCAAGACGACGAUCAGUAGCCGACCUGAGAGGGUGACCGGCCACAUUGGGACUGAGACACGGCCCAAACUCCUACGGGAGGCAGCAGUGGGGAAUAUUGCACAAUGGGGGAAACCCUGAUGCAGCGACGCCGCGUGAGUGAAGAAGUAUUUCGGUAUGUAAAGCUCUAUCAGCAGGGAAGAAGUUGACGGUACCUGAGUAAGAAGCCCCGGCUAACUACGUGCCAGCAGCCGCGGUAAUACGUAGGGGGCAAGCGUUAUCCGGAUUUACUGGGUGUAAAGGGAGCGUAGACGGCAGUGCAAGUCUGAAGUGAAAGCCCCGGGCUUAACCCGGGAACUGCUUUGGAAACUGUACGGCUGGAGUGCUGGAGAGGUAAGCGGAAUUCCUAGUGUAGCGGUGAAAUGCGUAGAUAUUAGGAGGAACACCAGUGGCGAAGGCGGCUUACUGGACAGUAACUGACGUUGAGGCUCGAAAGCGUGGGGAGCAAACAGGAUUAGAUACCCUGGUAGU
rnacentral:rRNA from 1 species